rnacentral:rRNA from 1 species
CCAAUAGCGUAUAUUAAAGUUGUUGCAGUUAAAAAGCUAGUAGUUGAAUUUCGGGAUUGACACAUCGGUCGUGCCUUAAGGGGUAUGAACUGGUGUAGUCAAUUUCUCACCUUCUGGAGAACCGCAAUGCCCUUAAUUGGGUGUCGCGGGGAACCAGGACCUUUACUUUGAAAAAAUUAGAGUGUUUAAAGCAGGCAUUUUGCUUGAAUACAUUAGCAUGGAAUAAUAAAAUAGGACGGCAUGAUUCUAUUUUGUUGGUUUCUAGGAUCACCGUAAUGAUUAAUAGGGAUAGUUGGGGGCAUUAGUAUUCAAUUGUCAGAGGUGAAAUUCUUGGAUUUAUUGAAGACUAACUACUGCGAAAGCAUUUGCCAAGGAUGUUUUCAUUAAUCAAGAACGAAAGUUAGGGGAUCGAAGACGAUCAGAUACCGUCGUAGUCUUAACCAUAAACUAUGCCGACUAGGAAUCAGACGAUGUUAAUUUUUUAAUGACUCGUUUGGCACCUUACG